GGGCUAAUUGUAGCCGGGCGCUGCUGAAGGCUGCGUGGGCUGGGUGCGGGGCGAUUGCCAUGAUCGCGAAGGCCUUGCAUGUGGGGGUGGCGGGCGGCUGGCAGGGGCGGCUGGCGGAUGAGUGGCGGGUUGUCAGAUAGCAAGGGCAGAGGAUGGCGCCGCGUAAUGGCAGUGCCUUUGCGAGCGCGUGCAGUGAACGCGCAGCGUCUUGUUGAGUUGUCUGGCAGGCCGGGCAGGGCAUGACCCAUCA
rnacentral:sRNA from 1 species